CCAAAGCCUUUGUUAUUUGCUCCACCCCACAACUGCCUCACAAGCAUCCCAGAGUCCAGUCAGCAGACAGCAGAGGAGACUGUCAGCAGACCACCUUGGAGGGGAUGCUUGGAGCUGCCUAACGUGUGAUUCAAAGAUGAAUUCCAUGUGUUUGGAGAAGAAGCCCCAGCCUCAACACAAAGGUUGGCCACAUUCCAGCCAGGGUAGCACGGAGUGAAGGCCCGUGGAGGGAGAGCUGGGCUUUUCUGAACUACUUCAGUACACCUUGCUGUGCCUCGGCCUGCCGUGUUUCAUCCCCAUGGCUGUCCUCAGUGAUGUGCAUGGUCACUGCUCCCUUCACCACUGAGAAGACGGGCACAGGACAGUCAGGGGACGUGUCCAAGGUCCCACAGCAGGAAGGGCUGGAGUCAGAAUGUGGUCUGAGAGGCUGGAUAUACAAAGAGACAAUGGCGUGACCAUCUGUACAAAUGGAACUAUGGCCCACAACCUGCAGCAGCCAGCCCAGGAAGCCAACCCGUCACCUGCAGCAGCCAGGAUGGAUGCUGGCCUGCCCUCACUGAUAGUCAAGUCUAGUUCUAUGUGGCUCCAAAUGCCUCCACCAUGAGCUCAAGACAGUGACUGACUGAAAAACCCUCUCUAUUACAGACCACAACAUUGAACCCAACAACCCCCUAAGUAGGUUGUACUCACAUCAUUGGUCUUAUGGGGAAAUUUUAAGGCCUCCCGCUUGUAAGGUUUUAUAGCCCUCUAUGGAAUAUUGAAGAAAGAGUAAAAUGCAUCCAAAAAAAAAACACUAAACUGGAUAAAUUCUAAGGCCUCUUCAGGUCUUAAGAUGGCCAUUUUCUAGGUCCUCUUGCUGCAGCAGUGAAAUCCACAAACACGGACAAGUCAGUCAGUUACGUGCCUUUCAGAGAAAACUUCUGACUUAGGAAUUCCAGCUAUUUGGCCCAACCCAUAUUAGAUUGUGUUAUAAAGACAUGGUAAAUUACAUCACCAAGGGAAGAGCAGAGGAAACAUAAUAUUCCUUCAAGACCCAUCAGCUCAGAUGUUAGCAGAACACCCCUAAGGAGGAAAACAAGAAAUUUUGGGUUUGAACUUGGUACUUCCCAGCAGCCCUGGGAGUGGGGUCAGAAGCCCUGCUGGGGGCAAAGAACUCUGAGGAUCAAAGAUGUUGAGCAUCACCUAAAAGGCCAAAGAUCAGAACAGCGGAGGUGGCCUUUGAAGCCCAACCUGUCUUUCACCAGAGAGUGAGAAUGGCCUCUAUUUCCAGGAAGCUCACUGCAGCAAUAAUCAUGAUGCACUGAGCCUGACAAGGUGAGAAUUUACUUUCAGCACCUGCAAUAGUUUCCUAUUAAAGUUACAUAUGAAACCCUGCCGUCUUGUACCAACUAAUGUUCACACCAGCGUUCCUAUUUUCAAGAUAAAUUGCAAAAUAAAAACUCUUGUUUUUGUUAGCAAAAGAAAACUUUAGGAGGAUAAAAGGGAGAUGAAGAAACAGAAAACACAUCAGCUCUCCAUCCAGAUUACAGAAAGCAGAAAACAUCCUGAAGUGAAUAACAUAGGGAUCACUCUUUCUUC